GCCAACGACCAUACUACGCUGAAUACAUCGGUUCUCGUCCGAUCACCGAAAUUAAGCAGCGUCGGGCGCGGUUAGUACUUAGAUGGGGUACC
rnacentral:rRNA from 2 species